GGGGCUGUUCCGGCAUUCGACGGGGAAUGGCGGGCGGCGUAAGCAUACCGGAGGCUCGUCUCCGCAAAUACGGAAAUUAAAAUUAAACGCAAACAACAACAAAACUCAGAGCGCAAGCUCGUUAGCCUUCGCUGCUUAAUUUAGCGGAGCUGUUCGACGGGGAAUUCCGCGGCCCCGCUCGGGCAUCAGACAGCGGAACAGGGCGACCGUAAACGCCGCGAUACGGCUCGCAAGACAAGCGGCUCUCCGAUAAGCAGGUCUGCCGUUCGACCGGCUUAAAGGGAAUAACAACGAUCGGCUAAGUAUGUAGAAGUCGCCGCUUAAAGUUUUUCGGACAGGGGUUCAACUCCCCUCAGCUCCACCA
rnacentral:tmRNA from 1 species